UUAGGGAGCUGCGGACUGCUCAGUAACAGGCGAUUAAUUUAAUCUUUACAAAUGGACAAACUCAGGAAACGGAGUGUAAUACAUAAAAAAUGAUUUUUUAAAUAAAAAGAAAACAUUUUUAGCUUGAAAAAAGCGGUAAAGAAUAAGACGCCAACCCAUCAGUUAGUAAGUAGGGUAAGGGCCUAUUUAGACGAAUACGGGUACGGGGAAUUAGGGUUUGAUUCCGGAGAGGGAGCCUGAGAGACGGCUACCAGGUCCAAGGACGGCAGCAGGCGCGAAAAUUACCGAAGCUCAAAUAGAGGCGGUAGUAAUGAGACGUAUAAAAAAUAAUAUAAGGGUAAAAAACUUAUUAAUAACUAGAGGUCAAGUCUGGUGCCAGCAUCCGCGGUAAUACCAGCUCUAGGGGUGUCUAUGAUGAUUGCUGCGAUUAAAAGGUCCGUAGUCGAAUUUAAAUAAUUGUUUGUAAUAUGUUAGAUAAAAUAAUAAAAAGAACAAUUACUUAAAUGAAAGGAAUAACAAGAGGUUGAUUAAUUGAGUAACGAGAGGUGAAAUUUGAUGACUUACUUAGGAGAAACAGAGGCGAAAGCGUCAAUCAAGUGUAAAUCCGAUGAUCAAGGACGUAGGCUGGAGUAUCGAACACGAUUAGAUACCGUAGUAGUUCCAGCAGUAAACUAUGCCUACGCCAAUGAAUGAAAGUUUGAUGGACGAGAAAUCUAGAGUAGGGCUUUGGGGAGAGUACACGCGCAAGCGAUAAAUUUAAAGGAAAUUGACGGAAGAACACCACAAGGAGUGGAGUGUGCGGCUUAAUUUGACUCAACGCGGGACAGCUUACCAAACCCGAAAACUAAAAGAGUGAAUACACGAUAAGUUUAAGAGUGGUGCAUGGCCGUUAUCGACGAGUGAAGUGAUUUUAUGGUUAAAUCCGACAAGUCGUGAGACCCUAUAAAAUAAAACAGGUAU
rnacentral:rRNA from 1 species